AUUGAACGCUGGCGGCAUGCUUUACACAUGCAAGUCGAACGGUAACAGGCCGCAAGGUGCUGACGAGUGGCGAGCGGGUGAGUAAUGCAUCGGAACGUGCCCAGUCGUGGGGGAUAACGCAGCGAAAGCUGCGCUAAUACCGCAUACGAUCUAUGGAUGAAAGCGGGGGACCGUAAGGCCUCGCGCGACUGGAGCGGCCGAUGUCGGAUUAGGUAGUUGGUGGGGUAAAGGCUCACCAAGCCAACGAUCUGUAGCUGGUCUGAGAGGACGACCAGCCACACUGGGACUGAGACACAGCCCAAACUCGUACGGGAGGCAGCAGUGGGGAAUAUUGGACAAUGGGCGCAAGCCUGAUCCAGCAAUGCCGCGUGCAGGAAGAAGGCGUUCGGGUUGUAUACUGCUUUUGUACGGAACGAAACGGUUCGGGUUAAUACCCUGGGCUAAUGACGGUACCGUAAGAAUAAGCACCGGCUAACUACGUGCCAGCAGCCGCGGUAACAC
rnacentral:rRNA from 1 species